ensembl:miRNA
CCCAGGGUUAAUGCUAAUCGUGAUAGGGGUUGUGCUCUGACAGGGACUCCUGCGGGUUAGCAUUAGC